CGAGAAGACUGGGGACUGUUUCUUUAGGGAAAUGGAAACCAGUUUAAUCGCUAUUGUUUGAACCGGGCAAAAGUCGUAACAAGGUUUUCGUAGGUGAACCUGCGAAAGGAUCAUUAUG
rnacentral:rRNA from 1 species